UGCAAAUUAUAACUCAGUGGCAGAGGACAAGCUUUGUAUGCAGAAGGUUCCAGGUUCAAUCCCUGCCAUUUCCAG